CGCAGCGUCGGCUUCUGCCGAGCUUGACGUUCUCCUCCGCCCUGGUUGCUAUUGGCCGUCAGCUGGUGCUGUGGCCUGCUUGGUCUCCGGCACCGACCCCUGCCUUUUCACUUCCUGGGCGCUCAGGCCCUCUCACCCCUUCCCUGUGGAGCGGGGCAGGCCUUGGGAGCCGAGUCUAGACCUGGGAGAGGGACGCAGCCUCUGGCACUGUUUGUGGGUCUUGUCCCAUCUGUGCUGCUUGGGGGGUGUGGCCUUGGCCAAGUCAUUUCUUUAAAUCCUCUUUGCUACCAUCUGACGAGUUAGGGAAGGACUACAUGAAAAUGUGUUCUAGAUCCGGCGGUGUGCUUGUUCCAUGUUAAACAGCUGAUUCUUUGCGGGGAAGGAAGGGUGUGUAUAUAGUUAAUUUUGUCAUGAAUUUGACUCAAAUAAAGCAUGUGUAGAUUUCCAAGGAAUAAUAAAAGUAUACGGUAGCCAGUUCUGUGUGACUGAUUGCCAAAUGCAUGCUUCCACUGGUUUUUGUCAUAGUGUGUGUGUCACGUUGAGGAUAGAAUGAAUCCUAGAUGGGGCACAUACUAAGAAUCAAUCCAGCCACUAGACCUCGUUCCCAGCCUUCCCAAACUGGUUACACGUGACCAAGGAGUAUAAUUUUCCUCUAUUGAUGCAAAAGGACAGCGAAAAACCGAAGACAAACUUGAUCAAAUUGUCAAUAGUGGUGACAACUUUGCUGAAUCAGAACUGGUUUCAAUGACUUUUAUUUCCCAAUGUAACACCUACAGAUGUUUAGGAGGGGCUGGAGAGAUGGCUCAGCAGUUAAGAACACUGACUGUUCUUCCAGAGGUCCUGAGUUCAAUUCCCAGAAACCACAUGGUAGCUCACAGCCACCUUGAAUGAGAACUGGUGCCCUCUGCUGGCAUGCAGGCAGAAGACUGUAUGCAUAAUAAUAAAUAAAUAAAUAAACUGUUUUAAAAAAAUCUGCCUUUCCUACUAAAAUGUAAAUUCUAGAAGGCUGUGUCUGACUGUCUGAUGUCAGAGACUCUGCCUGACAUAUAGAAAUACAGAAUUGUUGUGCAACCUUAAGCCUCAUAAAAGAUCCCUGAUUCAAAUUCACCUCUAGCUCUGUACAACAGAAUUAACAGCCACUUUUGUAAAUGAAGAAACAAACUGACAUGCAGUGAAUUAUUCAGCUAUGGUCAAUCCAUUCAAAAAGAUGCAGUGGAAUUUCAGAUAUACACUGAGCUGAAAUCGGGAAUUUAGUUGAAGAGAGGGAGGAAUGAAGAACGAAGGGGUCUGUACCAGGUUGGAGAAACCCACAGGAACAGUUGGCCUGAACAAGGGAGAGCACAUCGACCCCAGAUGCUGUCGGGGAGACCAGUACAAGACCUAUCCAGACCCCUGAACAUGGAUGUCAAUAAGGAGGCCUCUGCACUCCAGGGAGCCUCUGGUGGUGGAUUAGUAUUUUACCCUGGUGCAAGAAGGGAUUUUGAGAGUCCAUCCCACGUGAAGGGUUACACUCUGGCCCUGGACACAUGGGGAAGGGCCCAGGACCAGCACAGGAAGAUUUGGU
rnacentral:lncRNA from 1 species